GAGCACGUAGGUGGGUUUGUAAGUCAGAUGUGAAAGCCUUCUGUUCAACGGAAGAAUUGCAUCUGAAACUGCGAGUCUUGAGUGUAGGAGGGGAGAAUGGAACUUCUGGUGGAGCGGUGAAAUGCGUAGAUAUCAGAAGGAACGCCGGCGGCGAAAGCGAUUCUCUGGCCUAUUACUGACACUCAGUGUGCGAAAGCUAGGGGAGCAAACGGGGUUAGAUACCCCGGUAGUCCUAGCCGUAAACGAUGGGCACUAAGUAGAGGGGUUUU
rnacentral:rRNA from 1 species